rnacentral:rRNA from 1 species
GCCGCCUUCGCCACUGGUAUUCCUUCAGAUCUCUACGCAUUUCACCGCUACACCUGAAAUUCUACCCCCCUCUACAAGACUCUAGCACGCCAGUUCCAAAUGCUAUUCCGAGGUUGAGCCCCGGGCUUUCACAUCUGGCUUAACGCGCCGCCUGCAUGCGCUUUACGCCCAGUAAUUCCGAUUAACGCUCGCACCCUCCGUAUUACCGCGGCUGCUGGCACGGAGUUAGCCGGUGCUUCUUCUGUCGCUAACGUCAAAUCAAUGUGCUAUUAACACACUAAUCUUCCUCACGACUGAAAGUACUUUACAACCCGAAGGCCUUCUUCAUACACGCGGCAUGGCUGCAUCAGGCUUGCGCCCAUUGUGCAAUAUUCCCCACUGCUGCCUCCCGUAGGAGUCUGGACCGUGUCUCAGUUCCAGUGUGGCUGAUCAUCCUCUCAGACCAGCUAGGGAUCGUCGCCUUGGUGAGCCAUUACCUCACCAACUAGCUAAUCCCACCUAGGCACAUCCUGAAGCGUGAGGUCCGAAGAGCCCCCACUUCGGUCCGAAGACAUUAUGCGGUAUUAGCUAUCGUUUCCAAUAGUUAUCCCCCACAUCAGGGCAGUUUCCUAGGCAUUACUCACCCGUCCGCCGCUCGUCAGCAGAUAGCAAGCUAUCUCUGUUACCGCUCGACUUGCAUGUGUUAGGCCUGCCGCCAGCGUUCAAUCUGAGCCAGGAUCAAACUCU